rnacentral:rRNA from 1 species
UACGUAGGGGGCAAGCGUUGUCCGGAAUCAUUGGGCGUAAAGCGCGCGUAGGCGGCUUUGCAAGUCGAUUGUGAAAUCCCCAGGCUUAACCUGGGAACUGCAUUCGAGACUGCAUAGCUAGAGUAUGGGAGAGGGAAGUGGAAUUUCAGGUGUAGCGGUGAAAUGCGUAGAUAUCUGAAGGAACAUCAGUGGCGAAAGCGACUUCCUGGACCAAUACUGACGCUCAUGUGCGAAAGCGUGGGGAGCAAACAGG